rnacentral:rRNA from 1 species
UACGAAGGGGGCUAGCGUUGCUCGGAAUCACUGGGCGUAAAGGGUGCGUAGGCGGGUCUUUAAGUCAGGGGUGAAAUCCUGGAGCUCAACUCCAGAACUGCCUUUGAUACUGAGGAUCUUGAGUUCGGGAGAGGUGAGUGGAACUGCGAGUGUAGAGGUGAAAUUCGUAGAUAUUCGCAAGAACACCAGUGGCGAAGGCGGCUCACUGGCCCGGUACUGACGCUGACGGUGCGAAAGCGUGGGGAGCAAACAGG